rnacentral:rRNA from 1 species
UACGGGGGGAGCAAGCGUUGUUCGGAUUUACUGGGCGUAAAGGGCGCGUAGGCGGUCGUGACAAGUCACUUGUGAAAUCUCCGGGCUUAACUCGGAACGGUCAAGUGAUACUGUCGGACUAGAGUACAGAAGGGGCAACUGGAAUUCUCGGUGUAGCGGUGAAAUGCGUAGAUAUCGAGAGGAACACCUGCGGCGAAGGCGGCUACCUGGACCGGUUCUGACGCUGAUGCGCGAAAGCGUGGGUAGCAAACAGG